CCAGGCGGCCGGAUGGCCGCGCGCGGGCAAUGGGGAAACCCGUCCGCGUGAGGAAAGUCCGGGCUCCACGGAAGUACGGUGCCGGUUAACGGCCGGCGGGGGAAACCCCAGGGAAAGUGCCACAGAAAGCAAACCGCCCGCCGUCCGCGGCAGGCAAGGGUGAAAGGGUGCGGUAAGAGCGCACCGCGUCUCCGGCAACGGCGACGGCACGGCAAACCCCACCGGGAGCAAGACCGAGUAGGGACGGCACAUGGCGCACUUCCGCGCCGCCGUCCGGGUGGGUCGCGCGAGGCGUCCGGCGACGGGCGUCCCAGAUGAAUGGCCAUCCAUCGGCGCGGUUUCGGCCGCGCCGGGGACAGAACCCGGCUUACAGGCCGCCUGGCGCC
rnacentral:RNase_P_RNA from 1 species